rnacentral:rRNA from 1 species
ACGUAGGGAGCGAGCGUUGUCCGGAAUUACUGGGCGUAAAGGGUGCGUAGGUGGCUUGGCAAGUCAGAUGUGAAAUCCCCGGGCUUAACUCGGGUGCUGCAUUUGAAACUGCUGAGCUUGAGUGCAGGAGAGGAAAGCGGAAUUCCUAGUGGAGCGGUGAGAUGCGUAGAUAUUAGGAGGAACACCAGUGGCGAAGGCGGCUUUCUGGACUGUUUCUGACGCUGAUGCACGAAAUCGUGGAGAGCAAACAG